rnacentral:rRNA from 1 species
UACGGAGGAUGCAAGCGUUAUCCGGAAUGAUUGGGCGUAAAGCGUCCGCAGGUGGCGAUGUAAGUCUGCUGUUAAAGGGUGAGGCUCAACCUCAUAAGAGCAGUGGAAACUACAUAGCUAGAGUACGUUCGGGGCAGAGGGAAUUCCUGGUGUAGCGGUGAAAUGCGUAGAGAUCAGGAAGAACACCAGUGGCGAAGGCGCUCUGCUAGGCCGUAACUGACACUGAGGGACGAAAGCGUGGGGAGCAAACAGG